rnacentral:ncRNA from 2 species
UCACUCUGGAAAGCAGGAAAGGGCGGCACAAACCGUGCGCGGCUCCUUCCUCACCGACGGUGAAAGCCGUCCCGGCGCGUGUGCGGGACGGUGAAGCUCUCAGGUUCAGAUGACAGAGGGGGA